ensembl:lncRNA
GGCCGUUCCCCAGAAGGCGAAGCGGGGUGAGGUGGUGCUCCGCGCGCCCCAGCCGGGCCGGCGCAGGUGGAGCGAGCGGCUCUUUAUGGUUGCGGUUGUCGCUCCUGCCCGACUCCUUCCUCCCGGCUGCGGGGCGCAGCUGCCCGGGGGCUAUGGCGGGGGUGCCCGGCGGGCGGUAGCUCGGCAGAUGCAGCACAAGAGUCAUGUGAGCUUGCCACAGCUUGCCUAAUGGAAUUGCUCAGAGUUUCGUUGCAGUAAAAGAAGAGGAGAUUUGGAACCUUCAUAGUUGGUACUGAGAGACUACCCACUCACUGUAAGUCAGUCUUCCUUAUAUCGUGGAUGUGGUGCCCUCCCUGUAGGAAAGUAGAAGUUAAAUUGAUGUGGAGCCUGUUUCAGCCUAGAGGAAACGUAAUGAAAGAAGCUGUGCAAGAAGCUUCUUGCUAUGAAGAAUCACUCCAUUGAUAGAGAAUGGAAGAGGCCUGUAGCAUAGCUGGCAUAGAGUAAGCACUUCAGUCCCCUUUUCGGAUGAUAUAUUGUGCCUAAUUCUAUGUCUGGAAGAAUUGAAGGAUGUAGCAAGGAAAUGGAAACCUGUGGCUGUGCUAAUGUAAUCUUCUGCUGAGAUGAGGGUAAUUGUUCGAAAAUACCUUUUGAGAGAACUGGGGAAAAAUACCAUUUGUUAGAUCGUACUGUGUUUGGGUUCCCUUUAAUCCUAGGCCUCAGGGUUUCCACUGGUCACCUACCAGGUCAGGAACAGGCUCUCUCACCCACUGUACCGUUGUGGUUUGUGUCUCAUCCUGAAAUGCUCCUUAUUUUUUGGAUUGCAGCCCAAGACAGGACUUCAGCAACGUUGAGAUUGUUACCAGUGUCAUUGAAAAAUGUUCUUAUGUUGCUAGUGGAGGCAGUUUUUACCUGACUGUUCACUAAUUGUGAAGCUUGUCAUUAGGGAAAAAUUCUGUCCCAAGUUGUACUGCCAAUCAUGGCACUUCGGGUGUUUUACCUUCUCUGAUAGCAUGUAAAUGUACUCCUGAAUGCAUCCUGAAUACUUAAUGAUUUCUGGUUUUGGGGUAAGGAUGUUGAUAAUGCACUUGAGCUUCCUGGCAAACCGCUUGUGCUACAUUUUAAAAUUGGGGGUUUUGUUUCGGUAUGUUCUUGGCCUCUUCAAGUUAUAGGCAUUAAAUUAGUACUGUAGGGCACACAGGACAUGUAGGAUAUUGUAGGUCUUACAUCCCUCUAACUUACACACUUGCUUGCAGUUGUGGAAGGAAGGCUGGAUGUUCUGAACUGUGCAGUUUUUACAGGCUGUUAUUGUAUAUGAACUAAUGUUUUGAAAUUACCAGGCUUACAUGGAUCUCUUACCUGUACAGCAGAAUUUAGCACUGCUGUUCUGCACUAAUUUCCCAUUAUACUUGCAUCUGUGUUCGUGUAGGCUUUGUCACUGCUUUAAGCUUGGCGAACUCUUUUUUUGGCUAAAUCUCUCACAGUUUCUCUUGUGAGCAUGUAACAGGUAUUGCUAGCUGUAUAUUUCCCAGUAGGACUGACUUUCCUCUGGGAGGCUGGAGAUAUGUCAUGAAAACUGCAGUACGUAGCAGGAACAAGGGUUGAAUCUUUGUCAGUGUUUUCAGCUUGUACAAAUUGGAAAAUGGAAAGAUUCAGAGGAGGAGAGCAAGGAGGGGAAAAUACUUCUACUUAGCUCUACUCUGCUCUUGUGAGACCCCACUGGGAGUGCUAUAUGCAGUUCUGGUGUCCUCAACAUAAGAAGGACAUGGAGCUGUUGGAGCAAGUCCAGAGGAGGGCCACGAGGAUGAUCAAGGGGCUGGAGCACCUCCUGUAUGAAGAUAGGUGCUUCAAGAUCAAGGCUGAGAGAGUUGGGGCUGUUCAGCCUGGAGAAGAGAAGGCUGUGUGGAGAGCUCAUAGCAGCCUUCCAGUAUCUGAAGGGGGCCUACAAGGUUGCUGGCGAGGGACUCUUCAUCAGGGACUGUAGCGAUAGGACAAGGGGGAGUGGGUUUAAGCUUAAACAGGGGAAGUUUGGGUUAGGUAUAAGGAAGAAGUUCUUUAUUAUGAUGGCGGUGAGGACUGGAACAGGUUGCCCAGACAAGCUGUGGCUGUCCCAUCCCUGGCAGUGUUCAAGGCCAGGUUGGAUGAAGUCUUGGGUGGCAUGGAUUAGUGUGGGUGGGGACAGCCCAUGGCAGGGGGGUUGGAACUGGACGAUCUUAAGGUCCUUUCCAAACCUAACUAUUAUAUGAUUCUAUAUACAUAACAUAACUGUGUUGCUCUGUUCCAUUCCAUUCUCUUCUGUUCUAUUCCAUUCUAUUUCGUUCCAUGCCCUGCACUCACAGGGAAUGUGAUUCCCAUGAGUAUCAUGGGAAUCAUGAUACUCAUGGGUUGUGCCAUGAUGAGACCAUUAUUUACCUGAAAUGCCAAGGGGUUUUCAGCACCAAAAACACUUUCAAAGACACAGAUCAGGUGGAAAGGAUAUUUUAUUUAUUGAUAAAUAAAGCUGUUGUAUUUAUCUCAGUUUAGCUUAGUUAAUUUUAGUUUAGUUUAGAUUUUCUUUCUCUAAAUCUUGCAGAGCUGAUGCUCACAAGCAUUAACUCGAUGCACACGUGUAGCCAGCAGCAGGCUGAUGCAUCCUUCAGUUUUGCUUGAAAA